rnacentral:lncRNA from 1 species
CGGUCAAUCGGUUGUUGGGUUGCUGCCCCUGAAUUGGUAAUUUUGAAGAAAUUUUGCUGUUUUUGGUUAUUAUCUUGAAUAUUAUUAUAGAUAGAGAUAAACUGUAAACAACAAUAAUGUUCAGCAAAGUAAGAUCUACAAAUAAGUCAACAUGACCAAAAUGGUCAGUUGACCCGUUUAGGAGUUAUUGCCCUUUAUAGUCAAUUUUUAACCAUUUUUUGUAAAUUAAAGUAAUCUUUUACAAAAAUCUUCUCCUCUGAAACUACUGGGCCAAAUUAAUCCAAACUUGGCCACAAUCAUCUUUGGGGUAUCUAGUUUAAAAAAUGUGUGGCGUGACCUGGUCAACCAACCAAGAUGGCCGCCACGGCUAAAAAUAGAACAUAGGGGUAAAAUGCAGUUUUUGGCUUAUAACUCAAAAACCAAAGCAUUUUGAGGAAAUCUGACAUGGGA